AGACAAUUUUGAGUGGAUUUAACUGAACAACCCGAUCAAGAGAAUUCUUACGCCGUGUGAAAUCGAAAAAACACUCUACAGUACGGCAAUAAACACAAUAUUGAAGUAACGUAAUUUGUUACCUGUUUCCAACGUUGACAUCAUGGUAUAGUGGUAAACACGGAGGCCAUCAUGAGCGAAAGUUGUAGGCCAUUCCCAGGUAAAAGUCUCGUAACUUUUCGUAUAAUUUUUUCUUUAUUUUUUUUUUCCAAUUAUUUUUUCCAAAAGUCUUCAAAUCGUUCCUCAUAACAGCUUAAUACUCAUAUUUUGAUAAUCUUUUGUAUAUUUAGACAAUUUUGAGUCGAUUUUACCAACGAUGACGAGGGCAUGAACAACGAUGUAUAGCGAUGAAGAGAAUCUUAUGUGGUGAAAUCCAAAAAAUCUACAUACAGCUAGAACAACGGAAAAUAGAAUAUUGAAGUAUUGCAUGACUAUUGUAAUUUGUUACCAGUUUCAUUGUUGACAUCAUGGUAUUGUGGUAAAUA
rnacentral:lncRNA from 1 species